CACGUAGUUAGCCGGGGGCUUCUUAAUCAGGUACCGUCAUUUUCUUCCCUGCUGAUAGAGCUUUACAUACCGAAAUACUUCUUCACUCACGCGGCGUCGCUGCAUCAGGGUUUCCCCCAUUGUGCAAUAUUCCCCACUGCUGCCUCCCGUAGGAGUUUGGGCCGUGUCUCAGUCCCAAUGUGGCCGUUCACCCUCUCAGGCCGGCUACUGAUCGUCGCCUUGGUGAGCCAUUACCCCACCAACAAGCUAAUCAGACGCGGAACCAUCGUAUACCACCAGAGUUUUUCACACCACUUCAUGCGAAGCUGUGCGCUUAUGCGGUAUUAGCACCUAUUUCUAAGUGUUAUCCCCCAGUAUACGGCUAGGUUUUCCACGUCGUUACUCACCCGUCCGCCACUAACUCAUAAAUCACUAGGUUUCAAUAUGAGUCCGUUCGACUUGCAUGUGUUAAGCACGCCGCCAGCGUUCAUCCUGAGCCAGGACUACGAAACUCU
rnacentral:rRNA from 1 species